AGAGUGUGUGGAUUUAGUGAGAGAAACACCAAAAACCCUCUCUAAUACCCAUCUAGCUCUAGCUAUUCUUAUCAAAUCUCCUCAAAUUAGAUCCAAGCAAUCUAGAUUCAACCUCAAGGAGGAGGAUUUCACCAUUCCCAAGGUGAAAGACUCAAUAUUUAUGUAUAUUUAAUGUAGAUCUAGCAUAGACUCGUUUUUUUAUGACAAAAGAUUCGAUUUUUAUGUAGAUUCAAUAUAGAUCUAAUAUAGGUCUCAUUUAUUUUGGC
rnacentral:lncRNA from 1 species